ensembl:lncRNA
GACAAAAGUAGGAGGAGUACUGGGAGAAAAACACGUUGUUUGUUUCAUUUCAGAGCCAUACAUAACUGGGUCAAGGACUUUAUUUUACUCUAUUUUAAACUUUAUUUUAGGGCUACGCAGUUGCACUGAUCACAACUAUGGAUAUAAACAUGCUGCUCCUGUUUCUAUUGCUGCUGCUCUUUGGUUCUCAGGCUAACCAUUUCUUUGGGACAGUGAUGACUUUUACCCCCAAAGACAAGACACAUAAUGGCUCUCUCAUGAUUGGAUGGCGGUGACUGGAUUCAAACCAAAAACAAGGUGAAGAAAUGGAGAGCUCUGACUAAUGUGGACCUGAGGACUCGUCUCGACACUAAUCAGCCAAACAAGUCACCUCAGACCACCAUCCUGCCAGCCCUGCGAGUCCCUUCAAACUGUCAAAGAGUCUUCACCCUGUCGGCCUUUGACCCUGAUGGAGACAAGGUUAAAUGCAGAUUUGGAGACAUAGACGCAGAUGAGUGUAAUCCUUGUACACCACCGUCUGUUCUGACCAUCUCACAAGCUUGCACAUUGUCAUUUAAUCCUGUCAGCAGGCAAGAUGAAGGUUCAUAUGCAGUACAGCUGGAAAUGGAGGACUUCCCAAAAAAGACUAUCAUCAUCAGUGAUUAUGGUUUUCAGACAAACAUCACUCCCAGCGAGGCUCUCAGCAAAAUACCAAUCAGAUUUGCUCUGAUGGUGGACUCUCCUGCACCAUCAUGCUCAGAGGGAGUCUACCUGCCCAGGUUUCUACCUCCAACCCCAGCCAAUGGGGCUCGCAUGUACACUAAUGACACAGUGAACAUUACCAUUAUGGCAGAGGUGAAAAACACCAUGGUUUUAAAGCUUUUGUUCAGUGGACCGCACAAUGUUGUAAAACACAAUGAAUCACAUGGAGAAUUUAUCCUGACUUGGACGCCAUCUGAGAAUCAAGAUGGAGAAGAUCAUCCCGUCUGCUUCUUAGUCCAGGCAGAGAAAGGUGCAGCCAAAUAUCAGUCUGAGCUACGAUGUGUGAUUGUGAGCUAUCGCACAGAACCAGUCAUCACAACAUCUAUGCCAACAACCGUUCUGCUUUCAACUACUCCAGCGAGCACGACUACUGUAACCAAAACAGAAACACUGAGCAUAUCAACUAUGGUGGCAGAUGAGCCCAAAGCAUCAGGUGAUGACAGCAGUCGUGCUGGCAAAAUUGCUGGUGCUGUGUGUGGGGCUGUAGGUGUUGCAGCGACCGUUGGCAUUGUGGUCUGGGUGGUGAGAGGAAGUCCACACGCGUUCUAUAAAGUAGUCUAAUGGAAGAAGAAAGAGAUUAAGGAAAAACAAAACUGGCUAUAAAAUCUAGAGAACUUGGGAAAAGGAUAUCACAAACGUUGUUACUGCACAUUUUUUUUCUGAGUAAAUAAUCACAUUUCUACUUAUGUAUAUACUAUAUGAUAUAGAUGCAUAUUGUUUACUGAUGAAGAAUCGCACCAUCGUGUCAAUCUCCAGUGUACUGAUAUUAGUCUUUGGCUCUAUCUGGUGGUGGAAUGAUGGCAUGACAUACAUGUACAGAGUUGUAAAUAAAAGCUACAGAGAGCAGCUUUUAGAUGUGUGUAUUUCAUCCUUUAACAUCUUACAGACUUAAAUGUAAAAUACAAAUGAGGCAGGUUUAAUAUGUACAGAGAAAAUGGUUGGAAGUAAGGCACUGAGGUUUGAAGCCUGAAAAGAAAAAAGAAAAGUUCUUAUAAUGCACCUUUCUGCUACAACUGAGCACUAAAAGCACUUUAGUUCUGUUGCUUUAUUGUUUAUGUUUUGUGAUCUGGAUGGUGAAGGAAAGUCAGGGCUGUUAGGGCUGACAAACACAUCUUUUAACCCUGUGAGGUGGAAAUCAGUGCCGGUGAUAACAAUAAACCUAAUAUGACCAGAAUCUCAUCAUUUAGACAAACACAAAACAGCCAUUAUCUUUCUCUUAAAAUGUAAAUAGUUUUUGAAUGUUUGUCACUUUAGAUUUUUUUUUUUGAGUGCAUACAAACUAUAGGGGUUUGCUCAUCUGCCUUCACAUGCAUACAAACUAUAGGGGUUUGCUCAUCUGCCUUCACAUGCAUACAAACUACAGUGACAUCUCAUUCUUUAGUCAUAGGGCUUCAACUCUUCUGGGAAGGCUUUCCACAAAGUUUAGUAAUGUAAGAGUUUUUGAUCAUUAUUCCAGAAGUGGAUUUGUGAGAUCAAAAACUAAUGUUUGAUAAGAAGGCCUGGUUCACUUAACUCUAAUUCAUCCCAAAGGUGUUUUCUAAGAGGC